UACGGAGGGUGCAAGCGUUGUUCGGAAUUAUUGGGCGUAAAGGGCGCGUAGGCGGUAAUGUAAGUCAGAUGUGAAAUACUCCGGCUCAACCAGAGAAUUGCAUCUGAAACUGCAUAACUAGAGUACAGAAGAGGGAAACGGAAUUCCCGGUGUAGAGGUGAAAUUCGUAGAUAUCGGGAGGAACACCAGUGGCGAAGGCGGUUUCCUGGUCUGAUACUGACGCUGAGGCGCGAAAGCGUGGGGAGCAAACAGGAUUAGAUACCCUGGUAGUCCACGCUGUAAACGGUGAACACUAGGUGUGGGAGGUGUAAUACCUUCCGUGCCGUAGCUAACGCGUUAAGUGUUCCGCCUGGGAAGUACGGCCGCAAGGUUGAA
rnacentral:rRNA from 1 species